rnacentral:lncRNA from 1 species
GAACUCGUGACAAUCUUCUGUUAAGCAGAUAAGAGCGCAAAUUGUGACGGAGUGCUGUCUCUUUUGUGUGCGGUCGCGGGUACUCGCGCUGCUUCUCACAUACGUACAUCCGAUUAAAAUCGAUGUGGGGAAGUAAUCACUAUGCCUUCCGCCAUUAUCAUGCAGAUCGGUCUGCCCAGCGAGAUUGAGGGAUCUGAGACAACGAGUAAAGAAGAAGGAAGAGCGAAGAAAGCGAGAAGCUUAUUUUUUACAAAAUGCUUCACGAUGAAAUGAUUUUGACGAAAAAUAAUUUGAUGAUCUACAACAACGUGCUCGUCUCGAGAACACUUGGAGAACGCGACGCGCUUUAACGCGCACGAUGGCGUAAAUUGAGGAACCCCAUAAUUCCGUGAUAGCAACGUGCACGGGAGAUAAGAGAAGCGCAGUAACGGAAAAAAAACGAGAGGUUUAAUCAGAGUUUCGUUGAGAAGAGAAACUUCACUGAGACUGCAAAUUUUUAUAAGUGAACAUUCGAAAUGAUUUUGAGAAAAAAUGAAGGUAGCCUGUUGCGAUCAAACGAUCAACACAAUCAAAAUAACCCAUUGCCGUCUUCCGUCCGCAGCUGGAUCACACUAAUGAUGUAUAUUGUAUAUCAUUCUUUCGGACAAGGAUCUUCGUCAACCUUUCUCCAGAAAGCUGGCUGAUUAUUUACCUUCACAUAAUCACGUCUAUCUGCGCCAGCCACAUCGCUCGUCGCAUAUCAAUCGGAACCGCGUAUCAAAUUGUGUAAUCAAGUGACCGACGAGAGAGAUUCAUGUGAGGGUACACGUCUAAAAUGUCUAAGCAGCAGGAGGAACCUUGGACGUCAAUCUGCCACUGAAUGACCCUAAUAACGCGGACCAUCCGCCUGGUACAAUCACAGCGAAGGAAGCGCGAUAUCUUCCUUCGGCAUACAAAAUAUCAGGGGCUUGCAAAAGUUAAUCCAACUCUUAGAUACUUUUCUUUUAUCAAUAUCAAUCAAAGUUACUUGCUAUCAUACAUCACUUUCUUUUUAAAUCGAUACAAAAAAUGACUUGAGGAUUUUCUUGCUAAUUUGAGUCCCAUGAAAAACAAGUAAAAAUAAUUUUUAAUAAUUGACAAUUAAAGAUAUCUCUUCUGUAGAGAAGAUAUUUUUUUAUUCUGUAAAAUGAAGAUACUUUUUUCGUAAUUUUGUGACUUUCAGUAAUUCGACGUUUUAUCCAAGUAAUGGAGUUUGAAGUCGAUACGCUGUAGAAGUGAUGCCACGUUGGAGCAGAAAAUAAGGGUCUGGCAUUCGUUCGAGUUAAUUGGAGAGCUCUAUUUCUAUUUGGACAGUAUUAGCAAGCCGGAGUGAUUAUAAGCGACCCGUUUUACGAUUUGAGCACGGAUAACACGAAUCCCCAUUCCCGUAUAGAUUAUCGUGCGUGUUCCACGAUAGCACGAGCCAAACAACUCACAUUCUAAAUAAACCACACGUCCACCACGCACAUAAUUGCGCUUACUUGCAUGGACGCACGUAAAAACCAUCAAACUAAAUCGUUGGAAUAUCAACGUUGAGAUAAAGCAGCCAGGUUUGAGCGCAGUCGAGGAGUUAUCGCAUAAUAAAUAAAGCGUCAUUAUUUCGUAAAUGAGGUCGAGCGAUAAUAAAGAUAAAAGAGCCUGAAAAAGCGACGAAGCAGAAAUAAAGACAUGGAUUAUUAUGCAUUGUUGUAUUUUCAUUAGGACUACAAAAAAUUGAGAUGAUUGUAUGAAGAUGAAUAAUCAUCUAAUCGCAACUAACAAUUGACUAAUAAUUGAUGUUUUGCACGUGCAAAAAAAAUGUCGAGAAUUUAGAUUUUCUCAUCCGUCUCAUCCACACUGAAUUGCCGCAGGAAUUAAUUAAUUAAAUAACAAUUUCCUGCGACAAGAAGCA